CUAUCUUCUCCCAGUGCUUCACUCAUACAAAAACCACACUCACCAUCUCACUAGACAAAUUCUUCAGCUCCAAACUACAGCAGCUCAGCCUGCGCUCUAAUCCGGCCUUGAUCGGCUCAAUCCCGCCUCAGAUAUCUACCUUAAAGUCUCUUCAAACCCUUACAUUGUCACAAAAUCGCCUCACAGGUCCAAUUCCUAAAGAAAUUUGCGGCUUGACUUCUCUCCAACACCUUGAUUUGAGCUAUAACUUUCUGUCUGGGACAAUUCCAAACCAGUUGGGCAGUCUUAAAAACCUUGUAGUUCUUGAUCUGAGCUACAAUUCACUUACUAAACUGAUCCCAGGUACAAUUGGCCAAAUGGGUAUGCUCCAGAAACUAGACUUGAGCUCAAACUUGCUCACAGGAAGCCUCCCAAACAGCAUUCAAAAGCUCAAUUCACUAGUUUUUAUGGCUCUGAGCAACAACAGAUUGAAGGGGAAAAUCCCAAAAGGCUUAGCAAAGUUGCAAAGCUUGCAGUACUUCAUAAUGGAUGACAAUCCAAUGUUCAUACCACUUCCGGCAGAGUUCGGUGCCUUGCAUAGACUACAAGAGCUCAGGCUUGCCAAUUCUGGCUAUUCAGGCACAAUACCACCCAUCUUUUCACAGCUACAAAAUUUAAGCACUCUGUCACUGCAAAACAACCGCUUAGUGGGCUCAAUCCCAGUUGGUUUUGGCAAUCUUUCACAUAUAUAUCACUUGAAUUUGAGCAGAAACUUAUUAGGUGGUGAGGUUCCUUUUACAUCAACUUUCUUUCAAAGGCUUGGUAAGAAUUUGGAUCUCAGUGGCAAUCAAGGGCUGUCGAACGGUUUUUCUAUGGUGUGCCCAUGGGCACACACUAAGUGCUAAAAUCUAUGAAUUUGGAAGCUUUUGAUUGGCUUACACUCUCUAAUAAUGGUGGACCCCCCCUGCAUUUACAACAACCACACCAAUCAAAACCCUCCAAAUGCAUAGAUUUUAAUGCUUAGCAUGUGCCCAUGGGCACACACUAGACAAACCCUUUUAUGAAUUAUGGUACUUUCUGGCUUCAUGUUGUUGCUCAAUUUCAUGACUUUACCCAUCAUGCAACUUAAAAUAUCACUAUUUAUUUUUCUCUCUUAUACAAAUACACAUACUUUUUUUUGGUAAAAAACAUAGUUCAAAGUUGUAAAGCAAUUCCUAGUGUUUCUUACAACUUAUGAGAGACCACAUUGCUCACAGAAUGCACUGUUCAUUUUCUCUCACUCUUUCACUCCUGCUCUUGCUUUCACUUCUUACCAUAUCUUCCACCACUCAACAACAUGGUAAGAAGAAUUUGCAGCCAAACAGCAUGGAACCAUCUGAGCUAGAGACCCUGUUCAAGAUCAUGGACAGCAUGUCCUCUGAUCAAACAUGGAGAGUCUCCUAUCCAAACCCUUGUAAGCCUGGCUCUUCAUGGAUGGGGAUAGAAUGCAAAGCUGGAAACGACAGUCACCUUCAUGUCACUAGACUUGACUUUGGCUCACCACCAAGCCCAUCAUGCAAGAUGAAUUCAAUUUUUCCUUCACUAAUAUUUCAUCUUCCUUAUCUUCAGUCUGCUAUCUUCUCCCAGUGCUUCACUCAUACAAAAACCACACUCACCAUCUCACUAGACAAAUUCUUCAGCUCCAAACUACAGCAGCUCAGCCUGCGCUCUAAUCCGGCCUUGAUCGGCUCAAUCCCGCCUCAGAUAUCUACCUUAAAGUCUCUUCAAACCCUUACAUUGUCACAAAAUCGCCUCACAGGUCCAAUUCCUAAAGAAAUUUGCGGCUUGACUUCUCUCCAACACCUUGAUUUGAGCUAUAACUUUCUGUCUGGGACAAUUCCAAACCAGUUGGGCAGUCUUAAAAACCUUGUAGUUCUUGAUCUGAGCUACAAUUCACUUACUAAACUGAUCCCAGGUACAAUUGGCCAAAUGGGUAUGCUCCAGAAACUAG
rnacentral:lncRNA from 1 species